rnacentral:lncRNA from 1 species
CCACACCCACACCCACACAGAUUAUUUCUCUUUCUCAUUCAAUUCAUUUGACUAAAGGAAACUCGGGAUUGGUCCGGUGGUUUAGGUCAGCGAUUUUGAGGUAUGCUCAUCAUCAGGGUUUUAGAUUUAAAACUUUAUAGUUGCUAUAAAUUCUUAAAUUGAGUCACUCCAAAUUGAGAUUUUCUCUGAUUUUAAUCUGGAGAAUUAGUUUUUCGAAUUAAUUAAUCAGUUAUUGAGUUGUAUACUGAGUUAUCAGAAUUUCAUUUAACCGAAGGUCAAAGUUAUGAAGCACAUGUAUAUUUUGACCUAGGAAGAGCUCUGCCCCUCCAUAUCUACAUCCACGACCACCACCCCUUCUCUCUCUCACAUCCACAUCCACACCCACACCCACAUGCCCACAAAAAUAGAUUAAUUCUUUUUCUCAUUCAACUCAUUUAACUAAAGGAAACUCUAGGUUGACUCGGUGGUUUAGGUCUGAGAUUUCGAG